CGGUCCUACAAACACCGAUCCGAACGUGGUGGAAUACGUCGACCGUUAGGGUUGUCACUACCCUAAGGCUACCACAACAAUCCGCAGGAUUGGGUGCAAUUCUAGGUAAUUGCAAGACUAAACACCACGUCUAAUCUAUUAAUUACUACUCUAAUGUUGCAAAGAUUAGAGCACUUGAUGCAAGCGGGAAUCCAAUAAAUAACUUGAAUGUAAAUAAAAGUAAUUAAAGAACUCAGGAUUAUGAAUUGAAGAACCUGGAGAACGAUGAAGGACGAAUCAGUUGCUGCAAAAGUACAAUGUUGAGGAAGAUCCGACAGAUCCGGCUCCUCCUCCGCUCUCCUCUUCUCUCUCCCUAUUUUCUAGAUUACAACUAGAACUAACUAGAACUAGAACUAGAGGAACUAGAACUAGAACUAGAUGAACUAGAACUAGAUCUAGAUGAACUAGAGGGAUCCUCUCUACUUGGAUGAAGAAUUGAAACCCUAACUUUGAUUCUGUAGAAGAGGUAUGAUCUCCAGGGGCCAGGGGGGUCUGGUUUUAUAGUCCCUUCAAGUGAAUCUGGGCCGUCGGAUCAAACCGACAUUGAUCGUGUGGUUUUCCUUGAAGUAUUAGGUCGGUGGAGCAUGAUCGCCGAACUUCACCCUGAUUGGUCCAGGGGGGAGGGCGGGCGCCCUCUGGACUAGGGCGGGCGCCCUAACCCUGAGGCCUCUCGUCUUCCGCUUCGGUCCCGUGGCUUCUGGAGUCUUCUAGAUGAUAGAAAAUUGCGCGGCACGUUAAUAUCUCUAUGUAAACCCGACGUGUGGGCCUUCUUCCGUAUUUCCUGAUAACCCCCUGCAGAAAUAAACAAACACCAAAACUUGUGGAAUUCUGUCAGAUAAAACCCUAAGUCUAGGUGUUGGUUGCAUUUGGAUCCUUUUCUAUGAUUAGUUUAUGGUUAAAUGUAAGCAUUAAGGACCGUCAACAAGCUCCCCCAAGCUUAACCCUUGCUCGUCCCUGAGCAAAGAUGUACUCAAGAGUUUCUGCAGUGGUUUCAUAACUUAAAGAUACACAUGCGUUUAAACAAUAUCUCAUCUCUGGUUAGAGUAAACUGUUAAGACUUAAUACUUACUCAUUUACCUUUCACCAUGGGACUUGUAACCGUCACUUCUGUCUUGAGUAGUUAAAAUAUAGAACAGUCUAGUCAAGCACCAUGUCUCUUGUUCUUCGAUUAACUAUAGCUCUGGAGUUUUUGCAGAUUUUCAAAUAAAACUCAGAGAUUCCUUGUAUGACUCUCUCUAGUCUCUCUUUUGUGGUAUUUCUGGAUCCUUACCAAGGCAUUAAUGGUGUAUGUCUUCUCUCAAAGUAUGUGGUAUUUGUGGUAUAAGGCAUAGUGGCAUUGCCUUCUCUCUCACCCUACUCUAAUAAGGUUUUGAUAUCUGGAGCUCAUAGGUGGGAGACAGCUAAUACAUACUUACAAGACAUUUAUUGCAUAGUCAAACCAUGGAUCCAGAAGAACAAGUCAAUAAGUCAAAUCAAGAUGUGCAUGUGUGCGAAUGAAUGGUGUAUGGUGAUGAUGGUGAUAACAAUGGUGAAAGUCUAAUUCUACUUGUGCUCUUUUGAGGGGAUACAUACCUUUCUUGCUCUUUUGAAACUUUUUGAGGAGAAUGAGAUGCUCUAUAUUUUCUUUUUCUUUCUUUUUCUUUUUUUUCUUUUCUCUCAGGUGGGUAUCUUGUACCCCUAAUUCUACUGUCGGACACUUGUCCAUUUUUACCUCUCGUCUCACUUUUUCUUCUUUUUUUCUUUCGAGGUUCCGGGCACUUGCCCCUUUUUAUUUCCUCGUAUUCUUCUUUUUUUUCUCUUUUUUUCUUUAGAGCACUCAUCUCAUGAGAUAAUAUAGCAAGUGGUAGUAACAAGAUAACUUGAGCAUUUGUUUCACAGGGAAAAAAUAGAAAUAUUUUUGGCUAUUCUCUCCCGGAUUAGGAGUAGAAUAUUUUUGGGUGGUUCUGGAGAUGGAAAUGGAUAUAUAUGGAUGGUACUUCCGGAGUAGAAGCAGCAUGUGUGGGUGAACGUGCAAGUGAAUCUUGAUUUAACCACAUGACAAGCUCCUAAGGGUCUACACAGCUUGACUACACUCAAUGCUCAUAAGCAGUAAAAAGUAAAUGUGUGGCUCAAAGUCUAGCAAGCAUGUAUAUAUGGCUGUGGUAGGAAUUUAAACUCUCAUCAUGCAACAUUUUAAAGAUUUUCAAAGAUAAAAUUCUCCAGAAUUCUAGCAUUUCUAGGAAUAGAUAAACAGCAGCUCAACCUUCCCAUAUCGUAUCCGUUAACGACUUAGACUUCAGAUCAAGUUUUCUUCCCACAAGUUCAGGUUUUAGAGCAAAUCUUAAUUAAUAACAGUCAUGCCUAAACUUGAGAGAGAUUUCAAUUUUGAGAACUAGUCACGGUAGAGCAACUAUUCAUCAUUUCCAUGUGAGAGCUUAUCAUGAGGGUUCAUAGCAAACUUUAUUUAUUUAUUUAUUUAGCAAACUAAGCAAAGAUAUAUAUAAGCACAAAAUCUUUAUUUGGGUUUCUAUGAUUAUGCAUCUUUUUAUUAUUUGAGUAAAAUAUAAACGUGAGUAGAACACUUAGCUGGAUAAAUGGGGGUGCUCUCCCCCAAGCUGGAUUUUGCCGUAAUUCCUUCUGAUGUAGCUAGCAGGUGGCGGAGGUGUAUUUGAAUGUCGGCAGUACCCUGACAGUGAUUAGGAUGUCCUCCGUCUACUAGUCUUCUUUGAUCCUUGAAUUCUGUGGAGCUCAAAUAGACAACAAAGCUUUGUGGAACUAGUUAAGUGUUAGCAUAAAUAUCUAGCCUUUAUCAUGUUGAGCCUCCUCAAUAAAUAUUACUUUCUUUGGUAGGAUCAUAAAUUUAUUUUUAUAUUUUCAUUUUUAUAGGACAGGAAUAAAUUUAUUUUAUUUUUUUAUGCCACCACAGUGAAUGUACUUAUGGGUUUUAUGCCAUGAGCAUACUCACAUGGGGCUUACUAUCUUCAACAUUUUUAUUUUCUUUUCAAGAUGAUGUGAACCUGAUUAACUAAGCAAACUAUUUUAAAUAAUUGAAAGAAAAAAAAGAUAACUACCAAGUUUACCUCUUGGCAAGGCAUUCGGUGUUUUUAAGUCCUCCGAACGGGACUCUCUGUUUCCUCAGUUGUCCUAGAAUUCGCUGGAUGGCGUAGUCGGUGGUUCCGGCGGUGCUUCCUCUUCGUGUAUAACUAUCUUCUCUCUCCACACCUGACUCGGUGCUACGGUCUCCUCAGGACAGUUCUGUUCAAGCUGUAUGUCUUCAAACCUCACUACUUCUCCUUCGUAGUCUGCCCAUCCAUCCUUGAUGAUUUACCUCCUCUGGUUGCGGUUGCGUUGUCUUCUUCUUGUCCUGACCUGCUUAGAGUCUUCAACUAUAUAGUUAGGGUCAGUAAAAUAGCGGCGUACCUUCUCAGAGGGGAAAUGCAUGUGGACUUCUCCAGUUCCAAUGUAGAUGAUUGCUUUAACGGUGCUAAGGAACGGUCUUCCAAGGAUGAUGGGUGGAUCGUACUUGUCUUCAACCUUUCGGAAUGUCUGAUCUGCCAUCUGGAGCUGAAUGUAUGUCAGUUUUAGGGGCAUGGUUCCGAAGCUGAUAGGUGACUGGCGGCCAUUAUGUUGACGCAUGAGCCAGUGUCGCAAAGCAUCUUCUCGAAGUUGUAUCUAUCAAUGGAGCACUGGAUGCUUGGAACACCAGGGUCAUCCUUCUUGAUCAAGAAAGGCGACUUGAGUUGACGAUCUUGACCUCCUUGAGCUGCAGUGACCAUCUUAGCUGACUCAGUCCACAUUUGCUUAUUCUUGUUCCUCGUAUUGGUCCUCUACCUUGGUUCAUGUCGGGAUUGCUCUGGGAUUUGUGUAGUCUUGUUUCUUGAAGGAAAACGUCUCCUUCUUCCCCUUGAUGUAGAAACUGAUCUUGGCAGCACUAGCGUAGAUGACAGCUCCCGAGGUGUUCAGGAAUGGCCUCCCUAUGAUGAUGGGUGCCCUCUCAUCAGUACCAAUCUCUAUCACCACGAAGUCUGCUGGGGCGUACAAGGUACCAACUCGGACGCAGAGGUUCCUGAGCAUAAUGUUGAUGCUGGAGCCAAAGUCGCAGAGUGCGUCUAGGAAGUCCACCAUACUGAUGGAGAUCGGGAUGACGGGGUGUCCUAGAUUGUCUCUCUUGACCGGUAGAGGGUUAGUAAUUACUUUCACAAUGGGGUUACUCCAGUAGUUACGUCCUCAAGCAUCUUAGGGCAGUGAUUUCCUGAGUGUCCAGUAUCUCCAGUGUGUUCGUGCUCGUAGAUCCAGGUUCUGCACUUAGUGGAGUCUGGGAGUUGUAAAAGUCCUUCAUAUUUGGCUCGAAGUGUACCUACUCAUAGAGACAAGGCAGAGAUCAAGUGCAUGGGCCCUGUUGGUGGAAAACACCAACAGAACCAAAAGUGUAUUUGUUCUUCUCUAACCUUAAGCAUAGUGAGCAAGACAAAGUUGAUGGAUAAUAAGAUCAUGAGUGUAGUAUUUAACAUUUGUCAGAUUAGAUUGCUCAACCUUAUGGAAAGAUAAUCUAUCUAUAUAUAUGUUUUGUUUAUAUCUUACAAAGAUUGAGUGUGCAACAUUUUAGCUAAUAUGAUUAGGAGUGUGGAAUCACAAAGGUGGAAGGACUAAGCAUGUUGAAUCGAUUGGGUUGGUUAAUCUAGAGUUGUAGAUCAUACAUGUUUGUCUCUUUUAUUCAUGUGAGCGCCAGAACCAAGGAGAAGCUUAUAGAAGUGAUAGUCAAGUACCUUAAGAUGUUACCUUACUUGAAGAGUGAUGGUACAGUAUCACCUUGUGGAAGCUUUCCUCUCUUAGCGGUUGUGCAUCGUGUUUGUGGCACCUCCAUGGAUCAUCUCUUGUGAGCUAUGCCUUCCUUGUGUAAAUUGUUAAACUUCAUGUGUGUCUCUCUUUGUCUCCAAUGUGAGUUUAUCUCAGGACUUCCCAGGUCGAUAUUGAAAGUUUUCCUGCAGGGGUUAGUCCAAAAAAAUAUACCAAUGUCUACACAAGCAGUUUUUAGUUCAAUAAACAAACUAGACUCCAUGUCUAAUUAGAUUAAGGAAGGCUGUUUAACCUAAGAACCAUGCUUAAUUUAAAAACCAAUAGAAGUAUGUACAGUACUUCCAAACUAACACUUACUAGGAUAAACAAAGGUAGCGUGAUGGCUUUUAUAGAGAUCUACUCAAGUGG
rnacentral:lncRNA from 1 species